rnacentral:rRNA from 1 species
UACGUAGGUGGCAAGCGUUGUCCGGAUUUAUUGGGUUUAAAGGGUGCGUAGGCGGCCUUGUAAGUCAGUGCUGAAAUAUCCCGGCUUAACCGGGAGGGUGGCAUUGAUACUGCAGGGCUUGAGUAAAGUUGAGGUUGGCGGAAUUGACGGUGUAGCGGUGAAAUGCGUAGAGAUCAGGAGGAACACCCGUGGCGAAGGCGGCUCUCUGGGCCGACCCUGACGCUGAGGCGCGAAAGCGUGGGGAGCGAACGGG